CAGGGAGAACAUCUAAAGAUGAUGCAGCCAAGAUGCAAACCAGGAACCUGCCUUUUUCCUUAAAGAUCUGAAAUCUCCAACGGCAGUCUUUGACCAAGCCCAGGACAAGCAGCUGAUAGGCAGGCAUCACAGCGGACUGGAGCCCUUCUGAUGAAGACUGCAGAUGACAGUCGAAGCACGUAAAGUUUGGACAAAGAUUACAAGACUGAACAAGACGAAAACUACAUCACAAUCUCUGAGAAGAAAAUGCUUCACAAACAGUUCCGACCUCGUUCCAGCUGAAAAGCUGUGGUGGGACUUUAAGCAAGCUGUGCCAGAGGCAGUGCCAAACAACCCCAAUGAACCUAAGUUGUGUUGGAAAAAAAGAAAUUGGUGAAAAAUAUCUCCACAACAAUGUGAGACAGAUAAAAUAUUCCAAAAAAUGGGAUUGUUGGAGUCAUUGAAAAGUUUUUCGUGAUGGCAGAAUUUAUGAAUAUGCAAAGAUUCAAUACACCCAGCUGCUUCCUGCUGCUUUAAUUAACAACAGUUGCAUUUUGAAGCCCAUGGCUUUGUCUUUGUUCGCCUGUUUAUUAUGUCACAAUUACAUUUUGCAAAGUCAUUUUGUAGUCUUUAGUUUUCAGCUUUUGUGUCCUCCACAACACAGCAGUGGAGUCCCAGUUCUCAGCUGCCACUGCAGCCCACAUCAGGUUACUUACUCUAUGUCCACGUUACCAUCCAACUUAUCCUGUCUGCCUGUUUUAAUAGAAGCUGUUUCAGCGCUGCAUUUUCACUCCGUCUGGACCAAUUAUACCCAACAUUGAUUCAGUCCCAGUUGUUUUUUUCAUUCUCAUCCCAUUAGUUUGUUUUUGGGGACACCUGGUAUUUGUGGUAGUUUUUAGGAGGGGUUACUGUGAGAAUUGAUAUGUAGUUUCUUUGGAAUUGUUCUUUCGGUUGUUGGUAAUUGUCAUGUUCGCUUGGCGGGAAAGACCCAGAUGGAAUUUAAAUGGAUUUAUUUUCCUGGACGCGGAUCCGAGGGUGAGUGAUAUGAUGAUUGUCCGACUGGGUGAUGAGUAUGGGGUGACGACCGGGAGUUCUGGCUUGGAGUUGUGGCGUAGCUCGAUAUCUUGGCGUGGCUUGGAAUUCUUGGUUUGGCUGAUGUCGUGGUGUGGCUGGAGGUUAAGAUUGCACCUACAGGAAAGGACCCAGGUGGACAGCUCUUGGUGAUUUGUCCUGUAGAUGAGGCAAAGAAGCUUGGUUAAUAGAGAAUCAGGGAACAACAGCGUAGAUACUUGAUACAGAGACCAGGCUAAGCACCAUAAGGGGCAACGAACUGGCGAUGAAUGCUGGGACUGGAUCUCCUUAUGAAGGCAGGUGGAUGAUGAGGUGAGCAUCCACAGCUGGGUCCAAUCAGGAAAGCAGAGCAGAGUGGGGAGGAGAGACUGACAGAGGUACCAUGACAGUAAUAUUGAUUUUUUUUUUUGUGCUCUGUUGUGUAGUUAUCUUAAUUAGAGUCGUCUUUUCUCAAUAAAUCCAGCUUUAAUUAUAUUCAAUUCAGUUCAAUAUUUUAUAUGUAUGGCCCAAAUUCACAACAACAGUUGUCUCGAUGUGCUUCAU